GAUGAACGCUGGCGGCGUGCCUAAUACAUGCAAGUCGAGCGAACAGACGAGGAGCUUGCUCCUCUGACGUUAGCGGCGGACGGGUGAGUAACACGUGGAUAACCUACCUAUAAGACUGGGAUAACUUCGGGAAACCGGAGCUAAUACCGGAUAAUAUAUUGAACCGCAUGGUUCAAUAGUGAAAGACGGUUUUGCUGUCACUUAUAGAUUGAUCCGCGCCGCAUUAGCUAGUUGGUAAGGUAACGGCUUACCAAGGCAACGAUGCGUAGCCGACCUGAGAGGGUGAUCGGACACACUGGAACUGAGACACGGUCCAGACUCCUACGGGAGGCAGCAGUAGGGAAUCUUCCGCAAUGGGCGAAAGCUUGACGGAGCAACGCCGCGUGAGUGAUGAAGGUCUUCGGAUCGUAAAACUCUGUUAUUAGGGAAGAACAAAUGUGUAAGUAACUAUGCACGUCUUGACGGUACCUAAUCAGAAAGCCACGGCUAACUACGUG
rnacentral:rRNA from 1 species